GUUGUAUGGUUAAGUGACUAAGCGUACACGGUGGAUGCCUUGGCAGUCAGAGGCGAUGAAAGACGUAGUAACUUGCGAUAAGCCCAGAUUAGGUAGUAACAACCAUUUGAGUCUGGGAUUUCUGAAUGGGGAAACCCACGUGCAUAAGCACGUAUCCUUACCUGAAUACAUAGGGUAAGGAGGCGAACCGGGGGAACUGAAACAUCUAAGUACCCCGAGGAAAAGAAAUCAACCGAGAUUCCGAAAGUAGCGGCGAGCGAAAUUGGACUAGCCCUUAAGCUUUACACGCGUUAGACGAACGGUCUGGAAAGUCCGACGAUACAGGGUGAUAGUCCCGUAGUUGACGACGUGUGUUCAGUGAAAUCGAGUAGGGCGGGACACGUGAUAUCCUGUCUGAAUAUGGGGGGACCAUCCUCCAAGGCUAAAUACUACUGACUGACCGAUAGUGAACCAGUACCGUGAGGGAAAGGCGAAAAGAACCCCUGUGAGGGGAGUGAAAUAGAACCUGAAACCGUGUACGUACAAGCAGUAGGAGCAGGCUUUGUCCUGUGACUGCGUACCUUUUGUAUAAUGGGUCAGCGACUUAUAUUCAGUGGCAAGGUUAACCAUCUAGGGGAGCCGUAGGGAAACCGAGUCUUAACUGGGCGUUCAGUCUCUGGAUAUAGACCCGAAACCAGGUGAUCUAGCCAUGGGCAGGUUGAAGGUUGAGUAACAUCAACUGGAGGACCGAACCGACUAAUGUUGAAAAAUUAGCGGAUGACUUGUGGCUAGGGGUGAAAGGCCAAUCAAACCUGGAGAUAGCUGGUUCUCCCCGAAAGCUAUUUAGGUAGCGCCUCGGACGAAUACUACUGGGGGUAGAGCACUGUUAAGGCUAGGGGGUCAUCCCGACUUACCAACCCUUUGCAAACUCCGAAUACCAGUAAGUACUAUCCGGGAGACACACGGCGGGUGCUAACGUCCGUCGUGGAGAGGGAAACAACCCAGACCGCCAGCUAAGGUCCCAAAUUACUACUAAGUGGGAAACGAUGUGGGAAGGCUCAGACAGCCAGGAUGUUGGCUUAGAAGCAGCCAUCAUUUAAAGAAAGCGUAAUAGCUCACUGGUCGAGUCGGCCUGCGCGGAAGAUGUAACGGGGCUAAGUAGUAAACCGAAGCUGCGGCAAUAUACUUUUGUAUAUUGGGUAGGGGAGCGUUCUGUAAGCGGUUGAAGGUGUGUGGUAACGCAUGCUGGACGUAUCAGAAGUGCGAAUGCUGACAUGAGUAACGAUAAAGGGGGUGAAAAACCUCCUCGCCGGAAGACCAAGGGUUCCUGUCCAACGUUAAUCGGGGCAGGGUAAGUCGACCCCUAAGGCGAGGCCGAAAGGCGUAGUCGAUGGGAAACGGGUUAAUAUUCCCGUACUUCUUACAAUUGCGAUGGGGGGACGGAGAAGGCUAGGUGGGCCUGGCGACGGUUGU
rnacentral:rRNA from 1 species